AUUGAAAACAAAAACACAAUCUGGUUGGUAGUCCAGAUGCUACUGUAAAUAGUAGUCAGUAUCCUUCCCUCCGGGAUGUCCCGUUUUCAAUUUA
rnacentral:ncRNA from 1 species